UUCGGUAUCCUGUGUUGCUUACCUGUGAAAAGGAAUUUGAUGGUUUCGGUGUCCCUAUACSCCUUUCGCCCUUCGGGGUGUGGGGNGGACGUGAGGCAGGCUCUGUGUUGCCCGCGUGUCGAGUGUGUCGAUUYUCGGCUGCUGUGGCUUAUGGGGUCUUGGCUCCUACUCUAUGAUGCAGAAUGUUGUGUGUGUUGGCGUAUGGUCUCGGCCUAUUCUCGUCCAUGUUACACACAUUGUCCCUUGACAUGAACGACCGCCUUUGCCCGUCUUUGAUCGUCUGACCGAGCCUCAUCGCGGGGCUCUGGGAGGGUGUCUUAUGCGG
rnacentral:misc_RNA from 1 species